UUGGUCCCACCUGACCCCAUGCCGAACUCAGAAGUGAAACGCCGUAGCGCCGAUGGUAGUGUGGGGUCUCCCCAUGCGAGAGUAGGGAACUGCCAGGC
rnacentral:rRNA from 1 species